rnacentral:tRNA from 1 species
GCGGGUAUGGUGGAACUGGUAGACACGUUAGACUUAGGAUCUAAUGCCGCAAGGCGUGGGGGUUCGAGUCCCUUUACCCGCA